GCCGGGGCAGCGCCUGCCCGGGGAUGCGAGCAGCAGCAGUGGUGGAGCCGAAAGGACAAAGCGUGGAGGGGUCGGUGGUGCCUCGGGUCCGCCGCGGGAUUCCAGGGGUUAAACCGCGGGGAGAAGGGGAAGUGGCACCGCUGGCUCGGCGGAGAGCCGAGCUUUGGGCUGGUUUUGGUCCUCUGGGAGCAGCAAAUCGCCGAGAAGGCUCCAGCAGCACCUGCAGGAGUCGUGGCGAGGUGUGGGAGCCUUCCCCCGGCAGGAACGAAACGAGCAAUUAAUUAGCGGCGCGCGGUAAUGAGCCCGUCAGCCCUUCGUCCCCGGGGAGUUCCUGAGAGUCUGGAGCGGGACGAGAAACCGGGGCCGUGCCCACCUGCCCGGGGACACCGUGCUGGGGACACCGUGCUGGGGACACCGUGCUGGGGACACCGUGCUGGGGACACCGUGCUGGGGACACCGGGGACACCGUGCUGGGGACACCGUGCUGGGGACACCGUGCUGGGGACACCGUGCGCUGCCCCGCCGUGCUGCGGUGCUGACGGGAGGGAGGGUCCAGAGCCCCGCGGGGCUCGCAGGGAGCAGAGCAUCCCGUGCUGGGUGUGUUCUCCUGCUGAACACGCCCUGGCAGCACCGGGGAACGCGGCUCUGGGUGGGUGCAGGAGCUGUGACAGCCCGGGCUGGGUGUCCUGCCCCAGCUGGGUGUCCUGCCCCAUGUCCUGCCCCGUGUCCUGCCCCGUGUCCUGCCCCGUGUCCUGCCCCGUGUCCUGCCCCAUGUCCUGCCCCGUGUCCUGCCCCGUGUCCUGCCCCGUGUCCUGCCCCGUGUCCUGCCCCAUGUCCUGCCCCGUGUCCUGCCCCGUGUCCUGCCCCGUGUCCUGCCCCAUGUCCUGCCCCGUGUCCUGCCCCGUGUCCUGCCCCAUGUCCUGCCCCAGCUGGGUGUCCUGCCCCGUGUCCUGCCCCAUGUCCUGCCCCAUGUCCUGCCCCGUGUCCUGCCCCGUGUCCUGCCCCAUGUCCUGCCCCAGCUGGCCCCUGGCUUUCAGGAGCUCUGGGCCUGAGGCUGUUGGAGAAAGGUGGAAGCUCCCGGUGCUGGUACAGAGCUGCAGUUCCAGGAAUCCCUGUCCUCCUCCUCCUCCUCCUCCUCCUGGAGCUUCCCAGGAAUUUAGCACCCAGCCAGCUGACUGUAGGCAUGGAUCCUCCUCCCGAAAGAACUGGAGUUCAGAAUCGUCAGUGAAAAGUUUUUCGGUGUUUUCAGAACUCCCUGGCAGAGCUCGGUUGGAACGCAGCUGGUGGACGUGCUGUUUUAUGGAUUUAUUGUAUAUUUACAGUGUUCACACCAAGGGGGGUUGGUUGCUCGGGGGCAGAUGGUGGCAGGAGCUGUUUGCCCACACGUGUGGACUUUAGUUAACACUUCUGGGGAGGGCGCAGGGACAAGUCCCUUUCCCUCUGGCUGGAACAGGAGCAGAGCAGGACACACCUGAUCCAGAGGGGUGUGCAGCCUCCCCUUGGGAAGCAAACACUCUUUUCCAGCACUUGCUGGGUUAAGGCUGAGGGCUGUUUGGAGGGAUCCCUUUUCUGCCUGUGGUUUUUGAGCUGUUUCCAUGACAUUCCUUUAUAAGGAACAGGCUGUUCAGUGGUGUUCCUAGAAAUCCAUGCCUGGAGGCUCAGCGUGGUUGGCUGGGGCUGGGUGGUUCCUGGUUGAGCCUUGGAGCAUUAACCAUCUGUGUAAGCCCUGAGCAAGGUGUGUGUAGGUGCUGCUGUGCCAGGGGAAGUGUCUGUGCAGGAAUUCUUGCUGGGCAGAGCUCAGAGGGACACGGCCCUGCCCCGUCCUGUCCCCUGGCGUGUGUCCACCUGCAGCUUUCAGCCAUGAGUGGGAAUCGAGUUCAGUUUUCUGUUUGCUCUGUGGGCUGGUGUGACCUUGAGCGAGGUGGAAGGGGCUGGAUCUGCUGCUUCCAGCCCCUGCCUGGGGUUUGGAGCCCUGUGCUGCCUCGGGGCAGCAGCUGGCAGAGUUUGGGUGCCUGAUGUGUCACCUUUAGUGUCAGUGCACCCGGAAUUCUGGAAAGGUACCAGGAUCAUUUAUGACCGAAAGUUCCUGAUGGAAUGCCGCAAUUCUCCGGGUGCCAAAACACCUCCCUCCGACCUUCCGGAC